GUCUGGGAAAGCCCUCACGGAUGUGGAAAUGAGGAAUGAAGACAGGAGGGAAGGAAUUCUCUUGGGAUUCCCUAGUUGAAACAUGUCAACAAGUUCUGAUGAAAACACCAGGAAAGAUUACAGGCUACACCAGGACAUCAAAUGAUGAAUUCUGACCAAAGUCAACAGAUGUUCAGCAAAUCUUCUUCAGCCAUCGAUACCACUGCAAAAGAAGCUUCCUGGCUCAUGAUAUUCAGCGGCAGCAUGGAUCAUGGACUUACACGUGGUUCCCAGCGGCGGCACGACCACAGACAUCCACACAGCCUCAGCAGCAGCAGGGACCGCAAACGCCACACAGUCUCCUGCGGCUACCAACCCUCAUCUCAGACAUCAACAUCGUCUCCAGUGGCAGUACGGAUCACAGCUAUCAACACGCUCCUUCAGCAGCAGCACAGACCCUGGGCAUCAAGGUGGCCUCAGGUGGGGAUAGCACAGACCAUGGACACCAACAUGGUCUCUGGCAGAAGCACAAACCAUAGACUUCUACGUGGCCUCUGACCUGGACCGUGGGCAUCAACACAGCAUGAGCACCACAGACCACGGAUACUGACAUUGCCUGUGGAGGAACCUUUAUCCAGAAAACUAACCGUUUUUCAUCUCCCGUUAUCUUGUUGCUGCUCAGAGCCAGGGUGAACCUUUGGCCGGGCAGUGCAUUUGAGGGCAGAAGCUGCCUGAGCUCCAGGCUACUGCUCACCACACUGCUGGUCCUUCCCAUACAUGUUGUCACACUUUUAGUGUCAUGCAACAAUCUAUUCCACCAUCUUUCCCAUAUAUUGCACGGUCAUUAAAA